rnacentral:rRNA from 1 species
UACGGGGGGGAGCAAGCGUUGUUCGGAUUUACUGGGCGUAAAGGGCGCGUAGGCGGCUUGCCAAGUCAGGGGUGAAAUCCUGCAGCUUAACUGUAGAAGGGCCUUUGAUACUGGCGAGCUCGAGGGAGGUAGGGGUAUGUGGAACUUCCGGUGGAGCGGUGAAAUGCGUUGAUAUCGGAAGGAACGCCGGUGGCGAAAGCGACGUACUGGACCUCUUCUGACGCUGAGGCGCGAAAGCUAGGGGAGCAAACGGG